rnacentral:rRNA from 1 species
UACGUAGGUGGCAAGCGUUGUCCGGAAUUAUUGGGCGUAAAGCGCGCGCAGGCGGUUUCUUAAGUCUGAUGUGAAAGCCCACGGCUCAACCGUGGAGGGUCAUUGGAAACUGGGAGACUUGAGUGCAGAAGAGAAGAGCGGAAUUCCACGUGUAGCGGUGAAAUGCGUAGAGAUGUGGAGGAACACCAGUGGCGAAGGCGGCUCUUUGGUCUGUAACUGACGCUGAGGCGCGAAAGCGUGGGGAGCAAACAGG